rnacentral:tRNA from 1 species
CCUUCGAUAGCUCAGCUGGUAGAGCGGAGGACUGUAGUGGAAACAGAGGCAUCCUUAGGUCGCUGGUUCGAUUCCGGCUCGAAGGA